AACGUAGGUGGCGAGCGUUAUCCGGAUUUACUGGGCGUAAAGGGCGCGUAGGCGGCCGAUCAAGUCCGGGGUGAAAUCCGGCAGCUCAACUGUCGAAGUGCCUUUGAUACUGAUUUGCUCGAGGGAGAUAGGGGUCUGUGGAACUUCUGGUGGAGCGGUGAAAUGCGUUGAUAUCAGAAGGAACGCCGGUGGCGAAAGCGACGGACUGGAUCUCUUCUGACGCUGAGGCGCGAAAGCUAGGGGAGCAAACGGG
rnacentral:rRNA from 1 species